GGAGAGGUAUCGAAGUGGUCAUAACGGGGGCGCCUCGAAAGCGCUUUGGGAGCAAUCCCACGUGGGUUCGAAUCCCACCCUCUCCGCCA
rnacentral:tRNA from 1 species